UGAAGUAUAGCCAAGUGGUAAGGCCUCCGUUUUUGGUACGGAAAAUCAAAGGUUCGAAAUCCUUUUACUUCAA
rfam:Phytophthora nicotianae strain race 0 contig3834, whole genome shotgun sequence.